AUAUAUUUUCAUUACUAAAUUUUUUAUUUUUAUACACAUCCUAUUGUUUAACCUUAUAUUUUCUUAUCCUUCACCUUCACAAAAAUACAGAGACACUAAAUCUCACUCAGCCUUACCUUAACCCUAACCUACCCCCUUCCCUUACCCACAACCACAACUCAACGAAGAAACAAAGCAGAGGAAAAGAAACGAGAGAUGGAGAUCGAGAGAGUUGGAGAGGAAAUCAGAGCGUGAGGGAGAAGAAGAAGAGAGGGGGAGGGAUGGCGCCGCGGGGUUUGCUGCCGCAUCGCCACGUCCAGCUUGCCGUCACGCCUCACCACCGUCGCCGUCGUCGACAGGAGCGUCAGGAGAGAGAGAGAGAGAGGGAUGAACUCGCGAGGGAGAGAGAUGAGGUUGCGCUACGCACCCGUCAGAGCCAUCGUCGCGCCAGUCGCCGCCGCUUCCGAUGAUGGAGCCGUCGCCAAAGCCCGUGUCACCGUAGUUCUUGCCCCUGUCGCCGAUGAAGCUCAUCCGUUUCUGCUGCCCUGGUUCGCCGAGAGAGAAACUCGUGGAUGGAGGAAGGCCGACGGAGAGAAGAACGCCGUUGAUAGAGGGAAGACGCUGCUGUCAUGCUUCAUGGUCGCGGUGAUGGAGCCCGCAUCGCCGUCACCCAUGGCCGCCGCCCUUACCGCUGCUCUAUUUGGUUCUGUUUUGAGCUGCGCCGCCCUCUGGGUGGUCACUAACAACAGCUGCCAGAGCCACCAGCGCCACUGUUACUCCUCAAAUUCUGCCUCUCUUCCAUUAGGCACGACCAUUUUACUCCUCCUGUUUUUCUACUGGAGCUAUCUUGAGUGUUGAUGAUUGUGCUGCUAUGGAAUUGCUAAAGUUGCUGCUGCCAUGGAUUAGAAAGAAAGGGGAUUGUCGCGUUUAAAUUCUGUGGUUUCGACUAACGGAGGUUUGGUUGUUGAUUUGAGAAAUUAUGAAAGUGGGGGAGCUUGUAAAGGUGGUAAUAUGGACUGGUAACUGGUAAUAUUGCAGUACUUAUGUUUUAUUGGGUAAACUUUCAGUUUUUGCAUUGUUGACGAGGAAAUCUUAGGUUCAUUUUAAAUUUUUGACCAUGGAACAUCAAGAUUUAGUGGAUAAGAAUGAAGAGAGCAUUCAAUCGAUUGAAAAGGUUAGCAAUGCUGAAGAUCAGGAUAAGAUGAAUGAGACUGCUCAUAUUUGAUAACAUAGAGAAUGGAAGCUUAAAGGAGCAUCUCAAUGGUAAUUUUUGAAAGAAAUUAGAAGGAUGAGGUUGCAGAUUGCUAAUGAAGUUGUAGCAGCACUGGUAAACUCAUUUUGUGCUAGUUAAGCUCCAUCUGGCUUUCGAUCCGUAGCUUAUCCUGUGUUGGUGUGUAAGACUGCACAUUAUUAUAUGCUCAAAGUCAUGGAUAUCUUCAUAAAGGCUGCUGAAUAUAUGAAAAUUCCAGUUCGUAGGACUGAUGACGAACCUCUUCAAAAGCUCUUUAUGUUAUUGAGGAGUGAGUUGAACCUUGACCUCAAGAACAUUAAGGAGUGCUGAAAUGGUGACCAUAUGCUACCUUGAGGGCUCAAGAAUGUUUUGAUGCAUAGAGACACUAAUCUAUGUUAGAACUUUUAUGUUUUGGUUGAACUUUUAUGUUAGAACUUUUAUGUUUUGGUUGAACUAAUCAAUGUACUCACUAGCUAAUGUUAUUUUGUUUCAAGACAAUUUUAGCUAAAAAGAUCUUGUUUGACUUAUGUAUGUUUUUGCAUGUUAUAUACAUGUAAACUUGCUUAUUA